rnacentral:rRNA from 1 species
GGGCCCGCACAAGCGGUGGCGCAUGUGGUUUAAUUCGACGCAACGCGAAGAACCUUACCAGGUCUUGACAUCCUGAUUUUGGUUGUUAGAAAUAACUUCCUUCAGUUCGGCUGGAUCAGUGACAGGUGCUGCAUGGCUGUCGUCAGCUCGUGUCGUGAGAUGUUGGGUUAAGUCCCGCAACGAGCGCAACCCUUAUCUUCAGUUGCCAUCAGGUUAUGCUGGGCACUCUGAAGAAACUGCCGGUGAUAAGCCGGAGGAAGGCGGGGAUGACGUCAAGUCCUCAUGGCCCUUACGGCCAGGGCUACACACGUGCUACAAUGGCAGGUACAGAGGGUUGCCAACCCGCGAGGGGGAGCUAA